UAUUGGUCAAUGGGUGAGAGCCUGAACCAGCCAUGCCGCGUGCAGGAAGACGGCCUUCUGGGUUGUAAACUGCUUUUACCGGGGGAUAAAAUUCCCAUGCGUGGGACAUUGAAGGUACCCGGUGAAUAAGCCACGGCUAACUACGUGCCAGCAGCCGCGGUAAUACGUAGGGUGCGAGCGUUGUUCGGAAUUAUUGGGCGUAAAGCGCACGUAGGCGGCCCGUUAAGUCUCAUGGUGAAAGGCCGGGGCUCAACCCCGAGCAAGCCGGGGAUACUGGGGGGCUGGAGACAGGCAGAGGCCAGCGGAAUUCCGGGUGUAGCGGUGGAAUGCGUAGAGAUCCGGAAGAACACCGGAGGCGAAGGCGGCUGGCUGGGCCUGAUCUGACGCUGAGGUGCGAAAGCGUGGGGAGCGAACAGG
rnacentral:rRNA from 1 species